UACGUAGGUGGCAAGCGUUGUCCGGAUUUACUGGGCGUAAAGAGCGCGCAGGCGGUCGUUCAAGUCGCGUGUGAAAGCCCCCGGCUCCAACUGGGGAGGGUCACGCGAUACUGAUCGACUCGAAGGCAGGAGAGGGAAGUGGAAUUCCCGGUGUAGCGGUGAAAUGCGCAGAUAUCGGGAAGAACACCCGUGGCGAAGGCGGCUCUCUGGGACGGUACUGACGCUGAGACGCGAAAGCGUGGGGAGCGAACAGG
rnacentral:rRNA from 1 species